rnacentral:rRNA from 1 species
UACGUAGGGUGCGAGCGUUAAUCGGAAUUACUGGGCGUAAAGCGUGCGCAGGCGGUUCGUUGUGUCGGUGGUGAAAGCCCCGGGCUUAACCUGGGAAUGGCCAUGGAAACUGGCGAACUGGAGUGUGGCAGAGGGGGGUGGAAUUCCGCGUGUAGCAGUGAAGUGCGUAGAGAUGCGGAGGAGCACCGAUGGCGAAGGCAGCCCCCUGGGCUAACACUGACGCUCAGGCACGAAAGCGUGGGGAGCAAACAGG